AACCCUUGUCCUUAGUUACCAGCACGUUAUGGUGGGCACUCUAAGGAGACUGCCGGUGCAAACCGGAGGAAAGGUGGGGAUGACGUCAAGUCAUCAUGGCCCUUACGGCCUGGGCUACACACGUGCUACAAUGGUCGGUACAAAGGGUUGCCAAGCCGCGAGGUGGAGCUAAUCCCAUAAAACCGAUCGUAGUCCGGAUCGCAGUCUGCAACUCGACUGCGUGAAGUCGGAAUCGCUAGUAAUCGUGAAUCAGAAUGUCACGGUGAAUACGUUCCCGGGCCUU
rnacentral:rRNA from 1 species